CAGUAAAUAGUUUAUUAAAAUAUUAAUUUUGGAGAUUAAAGAUAGGACUUAGUUCUUUUUACUGA
rnacentral:tRNA from 1 species